rnacentral:sRNA from 12 species
CCAACUAGGCGUCCAUAUAUGCCCCUGGCAUUUCCCUGUACGUUAGCGACGAUCCGCAAGGUAGCGACGAUGUUGGACCAGGUCUGCCGGCGUUCCUUGGCCAGGAUGGCAGCCUGGU